rnacentral:lncRNA from 1 species
UUGAAGAAAGCCGUUUUCUCAUUUCCGUCUCUCUUUGUAUCCUCAUCUUCUGAUUUUGAUGCUCAACCUAAAGAGAUUUAAUGAGAAGGCCAAGUAAUGGUUUUGUUACCUCUUCUUCAUAGGUCGAUAGGGACUCUCAAGCCAUCAUGCGCAAGUUUUACCGAGAUCCCUUCCCUAACAAAACCAAACAUUGCAACAAAUAAAUAAGAUUACACCUCUCUCUCUUUCUGUGUAUGGUUUCUUCUGAUACAGUUUUCUACCUUUUAGACCAUUCAUCAAGAAACUCAUUGUCCUUGUGGUGAUCAAACUCGUGAGUCAUUCCAAUUAGAAGAGCCCUUUUUGGACACAGUCUUUUGAUCGUCUCUAGUGUCUAUAUGAAAACAAGAGUAAGCAUACAUGAAAAAUAAAAAAGAAGAAAAAGAAAACACCUUCAAAUUAAGCUAACCUGCGGGAAACAUAAGUGGGUGUUGUGGGAUCCUGUCUACAGUCACGAUAAAAGAAAGAAAGUGAAAACAUCAGAAAAAUGAAAACAAACAAACUUUAAUACAUAAGGAUGAUCUGUGUUACCUUAUAUAAUGUAUCCAAGAUAAGGAGAUCCAAUUGUCCACCACCAGAUUUUGAUAUGACUGUAUAAUCCAAAGGCAUAUAGAGUCUAAGUUAUCUUCAUUGAGAGUAUCAAUAACACACUAAGCACUUUGUUACACACACUUACCAUACUCAGUGCUUGGUGGAAAGCGUGAUACAUCAGAUAUAUACGCCACUCUUGAUUUUUCUCCAAAAAGAAAACCAAGGCAGACAUAGUCUUCUCCAUGCAUCACCUAAGAGGCAUAAACAAGAUUUGAGUCUCCGGAUAGAUCAAGCAAGGAAGACAUGAAUCACUAUUUCUAACAGAGGCUUUGAGAAACUCACUGGAAGUGGCGUGAAUGAUAAGUCUGAAGCUACAAAUGGCUUCUCACAAUCUUCUUCGAUUAGUCUCCAGUCCAGCUGUGUAACCCGCCUAACUUCUUGGCCUUCUUUAAGUUUCUUCUGAACCAGAUACGGGAACUUCACAGCAAGACUGUUAUGAAGAAAGAAAAGCAGGCAAUUGUCGCAACUACAGCUUUCAAAGUCUAGAAGGUCAAACUGAAAAUUUGCAAAGACCAUUAUUAUUACCUGUCCAUAGCAAAUUGGCUUACGAAAAUUGGAGUAGGAUCUAUAUCAUUGGUAGGACUAAAUGGUUGCACGGAGCGUAUAUCAUCCAGGCCAAGUACUGCAUCAGCAUGCUCAUGGGUUAAAAUGAUCUGCAGGUCAUGUAAAAAAAAAAUUAGUCCUUACAUGCAUGCACUCGAGAAUUGUAAUUCAAGACUUAAAAAUUUGCCUCAUGUUAGCUUUCUUCAUACAUUAUCUCAGGCAUGUUAGAUCCUUUUCUAGGCACGAAACACAAUAUUCAUACACGACUUACAGAAUCAACUUGUGGAAUAUUGUGAAGAGUGAACCAACGAAGGACUUGUUCUCUGAACGUCUUGCCAACGUCGAUUUGAAUGUAUUUAUGUUUGCCAUCACUUUGGCAAUAAUCAAUUAGAAGUGAAGUGUUUCCCCUGCCAAAACAAAAAGGACAUAACUCUUGCACUGAAAAGACAAUCUCGAGUCUAGAAUAGGGAGGAAUCAGCUAUAAGAUGGAUCAUCAGAAUCAAGCGCCACACACAAUCUUAAAAGUAGGACGCAAAGCUAGACUAAUUGAAUCAAAGGAACAUAACUAAUGUGAUCACCGACAUGCAGAAGCAAAAAAAAACUAAGAUAGCAACUCCACACUCGAGAAUGUUUGUACCUGUAAUUAGGGUUUCUCUCUGGCGGGAUCGAGAGAGACUGCGAGCAGACGUAGCAGGGAGGAUCUGAUUUCUGGAUCAAACACAUUGCGUUAGGGACCGCGCUGGAACAUCCCGUUCCCAGGAAUAUCAGAGACGAUCCCUCGCCACCGUUCUCAGUCGCAACCGAACCGUUCAUCAUCGGACUAUGUAUGUUUCCUGUGAGGAUAUGGCAAAGGAAAAGACUCGAUAGUAAUAAUAAAAAGAGGUAACAGAAGAAGAAGGGUACGUUGUCGACGACGCAAAGAGGGAGGAGAUGAACAUCAAAUAUAUUAUUUUAUAUACUAACGGUUACGUUUGUCACGUGGCGCACUCUUGACGGCUCUCAAUGUAACUCCUGCUCCUGGUGGUUGUGGGAAAUUGGAGGAUAGCUUAUUCUUUCUUUUUUCGUUCAACAACAAGGAUGUUAUAUUUCUUUUCAUAUAGAAAAACUUUUAUCUUUUCAAAUAAAUCUUGACAAAUUUUCCUUACUUUUAUUUGUUUUUCUGACUAAAAUUUAUUGUAUGAUUUGUUAACACAUUUGGAUUUUUAAGACUUUUUAGCUCUAUUGUUUACCUACUACUUAAAUUGAUAAAUUUAAUUAAAUUUGACAUAAAAAAAAAAAGAGAGCUCAGUAAAUGGCAAUUUCAUCAGGGAAAUCAGAUUUAUGCGAUGGACCCAACCUUCGCUGAACCAAUUUUUCUUCAAAGCUCAUGCACCAGCCGGUAAUCGAACCCGGGUCUGUACCGUGGCAGGGUACUAUUCUACCACUAGACCACUGGUGCUUCUUUGUUAUACAUCACUAUAUAAAUGUAAAGUCCAUACAUUCUAUUUAUUUUUCCCAACACCUUCUCGUGGUCACACCCUAAUGAUGAUUCAAGUUCCAACUUUCAAAAUCGCAUCCUGUCCGUUACUUUGCUCUGUGAAGAACACUACUCGUUUCCGUUUGUCUAAUUGAUGUUGAAUCUAAGGCUAACUCGCAUUCUUCGUCGACCCUUAAUCCGAUUCUCAGCUUCUCCAAUCUCCAACGGCGAAACUGACGCAUCUAUCUCCACAUUUUCGUCGGAAACUCCUGCCUUCAAUCAUGGCCCAUUGAGAGAAGGAGUUUGUCAUGGCGAAGAUGACCACCUGUCAGGAGAAGUAACGCAAUUGGGUUUCGGAAAGUCGCCGCCUUUGAAUGUCAGUGAAGCUGAAUUUGCGAUUUUUUUUUGAGACGGCGGAGUCUCCAAGAGGAGACCUUGUCUACAGAUUACAAAAUGUCUAAAUUCGAGUCCAAUUCAAGCCUUUAAAUAAUUAAAACACAUGACCACAUUCGAAACCCAUUUUAAACUUUCUCAGAAUAUAAAUGAACGCAGAGUUAAUGAAACACAUAGUUUUAUUAUAAGAGGACACAUGUCGGCUUCUCAAAAUUUGACUUAAUGACGUGGAUGCUGAGGUGGCUUCACCAGGAGGGAGUAAACCCUACUUUAUAUAUAAAGAUUAUUUUAACAAGUAUAUCAGGAAAAAUGCAAAAAGAUAAUAAAGCAAAGGGUUUAAAUGCUAAACUAUAAUUUGGCAAAGACACAAAGAUCCCAACUUAAGAUUAAAGGUUAAAACAACAACAAUUAACAAAAAAAGAAGGUUUUAGUGCAUCUUGAAGAAAGCCGUUUUCUCAUUUCCGUCUCUCUUUGUAUCCUCAUCUUCUGAUUUUGAUGCUCAACCUAAAGAGAUUUAAUGAGAAGGCCAAGUAAUGGUUUUGUUACCUCUUCUUCAUAGGUCGAUAGGGACUCUCAAGCCAUCAUGCGCAAGUUUUACCGAGAUCCCUUCCCUAACAAAACCAAACAUUGCAACAAAUAAAUAAGAUUACACCUCUCUCUCUUUCUGUGUAUGGUUUCUU